rnacentral:lncRNA from 10 species
CCUAUCUCGGGCCGCCGCGCCUAGGCCCGUGAGCAGCCUGUGGUGGGGCAUGGCGGCACAGCCACCGGCGUGCCCGCGAGGCCUCGGGACCCAGACCAGGAUUUCCAUCAGCUCCCCUGGCUCGCAGGCCUUCUGACUUCUGACUCACCAUCAGCUCUCCUGGAUCCAGCUUGCCAAUGGCAGAUCGUGGGACUCCUUGCCCUCUAAUCGCAUGAAACAAUGCCCACAGGGCAGGUCUCACUAUGUUGCCCAUUCUGGUCUUGAACUCUUGGACUCAAGCAAUCCUCCCACCUCGGACUUCCAAAGUGCUGGAAUCACAGGCUUGAGAUACCAUGCCCAGCCAAUUUAUUGUGAUGGUGAGCUCCUUAGAGGGAAGUAUAGUACAUAUUUCCUCCAUGUCUCCAGUACCCAACACAGUGCCUGACGUUGAGAGGGCUCUUAAUAAGUGUUUGUGAAAGACUGGUAGAGCAAUGCCCUAUGAAACAAGAAGCUGGAUAACACUGCUUAGGACUCAGAGGAGAGAGGAGUGUGGUCUACACUGCACAUCUCUGCCAAGCCUGGCACGGGAUUUGAAGUUCCACACCACUGAGCCAAACACAUCCAGACCCUCUUCCAACCCGGGGAUCUGGUGGUAAGCAAAAUACUAUUCCAGCAAGUGAUGCCCCCAGUCUCCUAAGGAUAUAAGAAACAGGAAGUUGUGUUUGGCUGCGGACAAACUCUCUCAGUGCCCCUGGGACUUACAAGAUGUUUGGAAUGAGGAACGGCAGCUCUCCCAAUGCGAGCUCAGCGGAGGCCCCCAGAAAAACGUGGGGAGGAGAGUUUUCCCCAUAAGACAGACUGUCCUUCAGCCCCGGCCACCAAAGAGGAGUAACCCGGGCCUGCUGUUCUCUGGGACUGAAUGCGGCUGCAUCCUUCCCUUCCUCUGCUUCCUGUCCCGAUCUGGUUUCUGAGUCCCUGGGCUGCAGCUGUUGAAUUUCCAGACACAAACAAGUAUGCGUUCUGAGAGCCUCGCCGAGCCCACACAACCGGGAGAGCCAAGCUGGAUUCCAUUCUGCUUUGCACAUCAGCAGCUCUGCUGCCAGCUGAACUCCAGGGCAAAAGCUGUGCCUGGUAAUGAUGCAGGCAGCAGGGAUGGCACAGCUGGCCUGGCUUAGGCCGUUAAGGGGGACACGCUUGGCCUUAUUUGGGGGAGAGCGAGAAAUGGAAGGCGAUGAAGAGUUGCGGAAGCAUACAUCAGCCUCCACAAAACUGGUGCACAGCAGGGAAACAAUCUGGUUUUGCUAGUCAUCAACAACAUGCCUGUGUGUGUGCCUGUUUAUGCUUAGGUAAGCCCAGCCUCCCACUCGCUGAAAAGAGUAGGCAGACAAGAAGGAGUGACCAACUCUGAGUCAGCUGUCAUCGUGUAGAGAGCAGCUAAGGGGAACAGUGGGGCUGGAAUCUCAUGGCCUUGCCUAGUGCCCCUACAGCAUCCUCUCUGCCCAUGGUGCCAGAUAUCUGAAUGGGAGGACAAAGGGGGCACAGGUGGUGAAAAAAACCAAGAUGCACAUUUGGGUAUUUUCCUUCUUUUGCUAGAAUGUCAUUUCUUGAUGUCUGUUUCUUGUCACCCAUUUGUGAUCAGGGACUAAGUAAGUUCCCUCUGCACCAGACCAGGUGGAAGACUGAGCCAGAGUUCCUCUGAGCCACAGGAGAGAUGAGGAGCUAUGGAGCGGAGUAGGGGCUGAGGAUCUGGUGCCCCCAGCUAAACUAAAAGGAGGCAGGCAGCAUGUAAGAGGAUGAUGGGGUAGCUCACAGAGAGGAAGGGGAUAUUCUUUCUCAAGAAUGAUGAGCCCAAAGGCAUCGCAUAACAAUUGUGAUCUCCCAGCUGGACGUUUCCUGUAGCACAGGUGUUCACAGUGUGGCUCCCAAACCAGCAGCCUCCAUGUCAGUCACUGGGAACUUGUUAGAAAUGCAGAUUCUCAGGCCACCCCAACCAUUAGAUCAGAAACUCUGGGGAUGGGGCCCCACAAUCUGUGUUUUCUUUUCUUUCUUUCUUUCUUUUUUUUUUUUUUUGAGACAGGGUCUCACUGUGUCAUCCAGGCUGGAGUGCAGUGGCAUGAAAAUGGCUCACUGCAGCCUCAACCUCCUGGGCUCAAGUGACCCUCCCACCUCAGCCUCCUGAGUAGCUGGGACUACAGGCCUGUACCACCAUGACCGACUGAUUUCGUUUUUUAAUUUUUUAUAGAAACAGGGUCUCGCCAUAUUGUCAUGGCUGGUCUUGAACUCCUGGG